GGGGCUUCCUGGCAAGACAGGACCAAAGGGAGAAAAGGGGGAGCUUGGCCGACCAGGAAGGAAGGUAUGGUCUGCGCUGUUCUGAGCAGGAGCCUGCUACUGCCAGGCAUUCAGACUUCUUCCGGGGGCUGCCAAGCCUGGCCAAAUUCCACCCCUCUCACUUCCCGCCCCAACCCCAGACCAUCUCACUCUGCUACCCAUCAGAGAAACCCUUCAUAGCUCCAACCAGUGACAUUGAAUGACUGUCACUCUCUGUUUGAUUAAAUUUGAAUAAAGUGCCAGA
rnacentral:lncRNA from 1 species